rnacentral:rRNA from 1 species
AACGUAGGUGGCGAGCGUUAUCCGGAUUUACUGGGCGUAAAGGGUGUGCAGGCUGCUCGUCAAGUGGUGUAUGAAAGCGCCCGGCUCAACCGGGGAAGGGUUAUGCCAGACUGACGAGCUAGAGAGCGAGAGCGGGACGUGGAAUUCCGGGUGUAGUGGUGAAAUGCGUAGAGAUCCGGAGGAACCCCAGAGGCGAAGGCGGCCGACUGGGCCGACCCUGACGCCUGAGGCGCGAAGGCGUGGGGGAGCGAACAGG